rnacentral:snoRNA from 1 species
AUCCUUUUGUGAGUCAUGAGUUUGAUGAAUGGGUGUUCAUGCGUUUAUGUGAGAUGUGCCUCCCUCAAACCUUGUUACGACAUUGGCACAUUACCCAUCUAAUG